rnacentral:rRNA from 1 species
UACGGGGGGGGCAAGCGUUGUUCGGAAUUACUGGGCGUAAAGGGCGCGUAGGCGGCCUGCUAAGUCGGACGUGAAAUCCCUCGGCUCAACCGGGGAACUGCGUCCGAUACUGGCGAGGCUUGAAUCCGGGAGAGGGAUGUGGAAUUCCAGGUGUAGCGGUGAAAUGCGUAGAUAUCAGGAGGAACACCGAUGGCGAAGGCAGGUCUCUGGGCAUUAACUGACGCUGAGGAGCGAAAGCAUGGGGAGCGAACGGG